CAUUAGAAGAUGCGAUGCAAAGAGAAGAGAAGCGCCGCAGUAGUUCGCAUUCACCGUUUGCCCACUCGUUCAAGCUCUGAAGCUAGCCAUCUAAUUAUGAUUAUCUUUUUCCCCUCUUGGUAAGUAGUUCGGAGCACAAAGUCUUGAAGCUAAUUUUAGUCAAUUCAUCAACACAGAAAAAGAUUGACAAUUCUUAUAGAUUCUGGCAGCAAAAAUAUUAGAAGGGCAUGGAUUAUAGGAAGUCGUGGUGGUGAAGACAGAAUUGUUUUAGGAUAUAAUAUUUUAGUUUUUUUGUAGAGUAUUAGUAGUAAAUUCUAAGUGGUCUUAUACUUAUUUUAAUAUGACUAUGCUUAAUUUAGUGUGAGAUGUAUGAAUAUUAGUACUUUUGGAUCAUUAUAAAUAUAUUUUAUUUAUAGAUAAUUUUUAUUAUUUAAAGAAA